CGCCGGUGGGGCCGGGCCGGGCCGGGGGCGCCGGGCAGGCCUCGGUCCCCGCUCGCUCCGGCCUCGGUGCCCGCUCGCUCCGGCCUCGGUGCCCCCUCGUCCCUGGGCGGAAGCGGGAGGGAUCCGCUCCGGGGCCCGGAACGUGACCGGCCAGACCCUCGCCCUCAGCUGCUCCUUCUCCACGGGAAAACCCAAGGGACACACAGGGAGCAGAAGCAAUUUCCUGGUGUAAUGGUUUAUCACCUAAUCAGCACCCAGGGAUUAGUGCUCCAGAAGAGGGACAUUAUCACAUCCUGUAUUUCUCUUUGGCAUUCUCUUUCAGAAUGCAGAUGUGCUAAAUGGAAAAAAAGCCCUACAAUGUGUAUCAACCUCUAUCUGCAAAUGAAAUGCAAUACUUUCAGAUGUAUUCCCAGCAUUGUAAUAAAAACACACUAGAACCAUAA